rnacentral:SRP_RNA from 1 species
CAGAAAGAUCGGUGUCCGGCGAGCCGGACACCGAUUGUGCCAAAAUGGGCGAAAAAACGCGGCUUUGGACCAAAUCCUGAUUGGGUCCCGCGCGGCGAAAACUCCCGAACCGUGUCAGGUCCUGACGGAAGCAGCACUAAGGGAGACCUUUCGGGCGACGCGGGGGUGCCUGAUCGGGGUUUGGUUCAAGGCCGCGUUUUGCUG